GGAUGGUGGUCACCAGUUCAUUGUUAUAGGUGAACCUAUGUCAUUUUCUGGGACUAUUGUGUUGGUUUCUGGAGACAAUCUUGGAUCACAACUCAUGGGUCGAUUCAAAGAAGGUCCAGGUGCACAUUUGAAAUGCCGGCAAUGCAUGGGGACCACUGAACAAAUAAAGCAGAAGCAGACCAGGAACAUACACUUUAAAGUAUUUUCAUGUAGCAGAUGGCAUGCCAGGUGAUGCAAUGCAUGAUAUACUAGAAGGAGUACUUCAGUAUGUAUGUAAAGAAUUGCUGAAGGACUUCAUAUUUAAAGAAAAAUUUUUAACAGUGGAGCAACUUAAUGAAAGAAUUAAUUCUUCAUUAUGGAUAUUUUAAUGAUAAAAACAAGCCAUCACCAAUCACCCGGACAACUUUGAGGAGUGAAAACAAUAGUUUAAAGCAAAAAGCAAGACAAAUGUGGUGCCUUUGAAAAUUCCUUCUUUUAGCUCUCGGCAGUGCCAUUUCUCAGGAUGAAGAAAAGUGGAUGCAUUUUCUGUUGCUCCUUAAAAUUGUUGACAUUGUUUUUUCACCAAUCACAAACACUGAUGAACUUGCCAUCCUGGAAGGAUACCUGAAGGAAUUUUUGUGGAAAUUCACCCAGCUUUAUCCUGGGCUUUCAAUUAUACCCAAGAUCCAUUACUU